UACGUAGGGCGCGAGCGUUGUCCGGAAUCAUUGGGCGUAAAGAGCUCGUAGGCGGCCGGUUGCGUCUGCUGUGAAAUCCCGGGGCUUAACCCCGGGCGUGCAGUGGAUACGGGCUGGCUGGAGGCAGGCAGGGGAGAAUGGAAUUCCCGGUGUAGCGGUGAAAUGCGCAGAUAUCGGGAGGAACACCGGUGGCGAAGGCGGUUCUCUGGGCCUUACCUGACACUGAGGAGCGAAAGCGUGGGGAGCGAACAGG
rnacentral:rRNA from 1 species